rnacentral:rRNA from 1 species
CAACGAGUCGCAAGCUCGCGAGAGUAAGCUAAUCUCUUAAAGCCGUUCUCAGUUCGGACUGUAGGCUGCAACUCGCCUACACGAAGUCGGAAUCGCUAGUAAUCGCGGAUCAGCAUGCCGCGGUGAAUACGUUCCCGGGCCUUGUACACACCGCCCGUCACACCAUGGGAGUUUGUAACGCCCAAAGUCGGUGGCCUAACCUUUAUGGAGGGAGCCGCCUAAGGCGGGACAGAUGACUGGGGUGAAGUCGUAACAAGGUACC